AGUCCCAGCUAACGUUGGUGCCCUUGAAGCUGAAUAAUCAUAAUAAAAAGCACCACUCUUCCGCUUUUGCUUCAGGUUUCUGUCUGGAAUGCAGAUUGCAGCCAAGGAGCACCAACCAACGAGGCUGGUUUCGUGUUGCUGCGUCUUAAACUCUGCACAGCUAUUUCUGCGGACCAUAAACAGGAGAGGCGAAAAGAAAAGCGCACGGGAAGAAGUCCCAGAGGGGGGAGCUGGGUUACUCCGCGGCAGCGAAAACAGAUGAAAUCUUCUGGAGGACAGAUGUGUCACGUUUUACUGCCAGAGGAAGGCAAAGCACAUCAUCAUUUACACACGCAAAAAGGCUUCGUCAGAAGUAGCCCAAUGAAUUAUGCAUCUGGUUUAAAGUAACCUAACGCUUGGUUUUCCAGAAUCACUGCGACAUUUCCGCAAUGAGAGGAAUUAAGGCAUGCUGUUGUGUGCAACAGUAUUUAUUAGCAAAAAGGUCAUAGCAUUGAAGAGUGCAAUCCAACUGUCGCUGG